rnacentral:rRNA from 1 species
AGAGUUUGAUCCUGGCUCAGGAUGAACGCUAGCUACAGGCUUAACACAUGCAAGUCGAGGGGCAGCAUGAACUUAGCUUGCUAAGUUUGAUGGCGACCGGCGCACGGGUGAGUAACACGUAUCCAACCUGCCGAUGACUCGGGGAUAGCCUUUCGAAAGAAAGAUUAAUACCCGAUGGCAUAGUUCUUCCGCAUGGUAGAACUAUUAAAGAAUUUCGGUCAUCGAUGGGGAUGCGUUCCAUUAGGUUGUUGGCGGGGUAACGGCCCACCAAGCCUUCGAUGGAUAGGGGUUCUGAGAGGAAGGUCCCCCACAUUGGAACUGAGACACGGUCCAAACUCCUACGGGAGGCAGCAGUGAGGAAUAUUGGUCAAUGGGCGAGAGCCUGAACCAGCCAAGUAGCGUGAAGGAUGAAGGCUCUAUGGGUCGUAAACUUCUUUUAUAUGGGAAUAAAGUUUUCCACGUGUGGAAUUUUGUAUGUACCAUAUGAAUAAGGAUCGGCUAACUCCGUGCCAGCAGCCGCGGUAAUACGGAGGAUCCGAGCGUUAUCCGGAUUUAUUGGGUUUAAAGGGAGCGUAGGCGGACGCUUAAGUCAGUUGUGAAAGUUUGCGGCUCAACCGUAAAAUUGCAGUUGAUACUGGGUGUCUUGAGUACAGUAGAGGCAGGCGGAAUUCGUGGUGUAGCGGUGAAAUGCUUAGAUAUCACGAAGAACUCCGAUUGCGAAGGCAGCUUACUAACCUGUAACUGACAUUGAUGCUCGAAAGUGUGGGUAUCAAACAGGAUUAGAUACCCUGGUAGUCCACACGGUAAACGAUGAAUACUCGCUGUUUGCGAUAUACGGCAAGCGGCCAAGCGAAAGCGUUAAGUAUUCCACCUGGGGAGUACGCCGGCAACGGUGAAACUCAAAGGAAUUGACGGGGGCCCGCACAAGCGGAGGAACAUGUGGUUUAA